UGGGGAAUAUUGCACAAUGGAGGGAACUCUGAUGCAGCGACGCCGCGUGAACGAAGAAGGCUUUCGAGUCGUAAAGUUCUUUUAUAUGGGAAGAUAAUGACGGUACCAUAAGAAAAAGCCCCGGCUAACUCCGUGCCAGCAGCCGCGGUAAUACGUAGGGGGCUAGCGUUGUCCGGAAUCACUGGGCGUAAAGGGUUCGCAGGCGGAAAUGCAAGUCAGGUGUAAAAGGCAGUAGCUUAACUACUGUAAGCAUUUGAAACUGCAUAUCUUGAGAAGAGUAGAGGUAAGUGGAAUUUUUAGUGUAGCGGUGAAAUGCGUAGAUAUUAAAAAGAAUACCGGUGGCGAAGGCGACUUACUGGGCUAAUUCUGACGCUGAGGAACGAAAGCGUGGGUAGCAAACAGG
rnacentral:rRNA from 1 species